CUUGUCCUGCAGACUCCACUCCUCCUCUAAUGUUUGCGGGCCUGUGGAGAGCUAACCCCAUUCAGAACCUACUGAGACUGCUCGCACAUUUUCCCAGGGAAAGCCACGGACAAAGCGGCAGCCGCACUCCGAGCGGCUGGAAAUAGCGCCUACCACCGAGAGGCCAGCUCUGCACCGAGCACAGGAAGUGACACGGAGCUGUGAGGAGAAACAACUCGCUGCUGCAGAUCUCCGCCCUGCUUAUGAUUUCAGAUUAAAGGUUCAACACACAAGGAGAAACRCGGCGAGCAAAGACAGAGCAGUAAACGGUCCAGUUCACUGAACCAGUUUUCAGCUGACAUGUCUACAACGGCCACCAGAGGGCGCAAGAGCAGCUGUGUCACAGGCAGUAGCCAAAGCAUCCGACGCUUCAGACUGGAUCACCGGUAAAAUUAGAGGUUUGGAGGAGACAGAGAGUCAGAUCACCAGCAGAACCACAUCCCCACUCUGAUCAGCUCUGCCCUCAGAUCCGGUCCAUGAGAACCAGAACAAGGAUCAGGAACCCGAAGUGCAGCAGGAGCUGAUCCCAGACUUCCACCAUAAUCCUCCACACAACGCCUCCCAGAACUUUAAUCUUCUCAACGUCCACAGAACAAUCUUCAGUAAUUCUCCACCAACCAGCAGCUACUGAAGAUAAAAAUGCACCGAAAAUAGUUUUCCUGAAUGUUUCCGAAACAAAACAACACAAUAAAGUUUCUGGAUUUUC